AGCGGCGGACGGGUGAGUAACGCGUGAGCAACCUUUCCCAGACAGGGGAAUAACACACCGAAAGGUGUACUAAUACCGCAUAAGACCACGGGAUCACAUGGUUCUGGGGUAAAAGAAUUAUCGGUUUGGGGUGGGCUCGCGUCCGAUUAGGUAGUUGGUGAGGUAACGGCCCACCAAGCCGACGAUCGGUAGCCGACCUGAGAGGUUGAACGGCCACAUUGGGACUGAGAUACGGCCCAGACUCC
rnacentral:rRNA from 1 species